rnacentral:misc_RNA from 1 species
GGAUCAAUUUGUUGGUCGUGCCUCGGUACGUACUGGCAUUAUUGGUUUCUACCUUCUGAAGAACCUUGAUGUCAUUAAUUUGGUGUCUUGGGGAAUCAGGACUGUUACUUUGAAAAAAUUAGAGUGUUUAAAGCAGGCAUACGCUUGAAUACAUUAGCAUGGAAUAAUGAAAUAGGACGUUUGAUUCUAUUUUGUUGGUUUCUAGGAUCGACGUAAUGAUUAAUAGGGAUAGUUGGGGGCAUUAGUAUUCAAUUGUCAGAGGCGAAAUUCAA